rnacentral:lncRNA from 10 species
CGGUUCCGGAAAAGUUCUUCCUUAACUCUUAAGAAAGAGCUUUCGUAGGAAAUCUUUGUCUUACCUGAUGUAGAGUAGGAAGAAAGACAGUUCGAUUGCUCUAGCUGCCAUUCCAUAGCCACAGGAGCCGGAGGAGGUGGGGAGGGCAGGGAAAGAUAAGAAACUGAGCAGAGCCAAGAGAGGCCUGAAUCCACGCGGACAUGGGAAAGGCCAGGAAACUAACCGCAGAAAAACAAAUACUGUUCCGUGACCC